rnacentral:siRNA from 1 species
UGUCACUAUAGUUAUGGCUGAUGG